rnacentral:lncRNA from 1 species
CUCAGCUAAGUGCUACAUAAUGAGCAACUCGUACUCCUCAACCAAAUGUUGGAUAUCUCCUCCAGGUUACACAAUAAUGAAAGAGAGGCACCUGACUCAAGCAAUGGAUGUAGGAGCAGAAGACUAGAAGGUAAAGCAAGUACAUGCUACCUGUCUGGGCAAGACCUUUCAGUGCCUUUCCAUAUUUCAAUGGGUAAUUAUCUGCACA